UACGAAGGGGGCUAGCGUUGCUCGGAAUGACUGGGCGUAAAGGGCGCGUAGGCGGAUGGCACAGUCAGAUGUGAAAUUCCCGGGCUUAACCUGGGGGCUGCAUUUGAUACGUGUGAUCUAGAGUGAGGAAGAGGGUCGUGGAAUUCCCAGUGUAGAGGUGAAAUUCGUAGAUAUUGGGAAGAACACCGGUGGCGAAGGCGGCGACCUGGGUAGAUACUGACGCUGAGGUGACGAAAGCGUGGGGAGCAAACAGG
rnacentral:rRNA from 1 species